CGGAGGAUGCAAGCGUUAUCCGGAUUCAUUGGGUUUAAAGGGUGCGUAGGCGGGCUAUUAAGUCAGUGGUGAAAUCCUGCAGCUUAACUGCAGAACUGCCGUUGAUACUGAUAGUCUUGAGUUUGGUUAAGGUAGGCGGAAUGUGUAAUGUAGCGGUGAAAUGCUUAGAUAUUACACAGAACACCAAUUGCGUAGGCAGCUUACUGAGCCGACACUGACGCUGAGGCACGAAAGCGUGGGGAUCAAACAGGA
rnacentral:rRNA from 1 species